rnacentral:lncRNA from 1 species
UACAAAGUUUUGAUUCCUUUCACACUACUACAGAAAAAAUUAUGGAGGCAGACCUUUUAGAUUUUUGGAGGCAGAACCCCAACUACCUCCAACAAAAGGCCUCUGUUAAUGCAUAAACUAUGGAGGCGAGCAAAAUACCCACCUCGAUCGAUCAGAAAAAACCAAAAAAGAAAAGCCCAGCGAGCCAGCCUGUCGAGCCCAUCCAGGCACUGCUGGCCGGACCUGCACCGCCGGUGCGCUCGAAUGCUGGAUCUACACCACCGCCACGCCCGCUAGACGGAUCCAGAAGCUGCUCAUCGGAUUCGGCCAUCCGUUUGCCGGAUCGGGUUGCCUGUGCCUGGAUCUACUGCCCCAUCGACAAAAUCCACCGCCACCGUGCCAUGGGGGAGACCAGGAGAGGAAGCAAGCCGCCGCUGGAGAAGCCACCCGUCCGUCGUCGUCACCGUAGAUCUACGACAAAGAAAGGAGAGGUGAAGGGCUGCCCUAGAUCUGAGAGAAGGGAUAGAGAGAGAGAGAGAGAAAGAGAGAGAGGACGAGGGCAUACCAUGGCCUUCUUGAGGCAGAGCCACCCUGCUGCCGCCUGAUCUCGGAGUUGAGGGAGGGUGAACCGCCUGCACCGCCUGAUCUCAGAGGGAGGGGGGAGGGAGAGCCGUCGGAGGGAGGGAUGGGCGCCACCGGCGGGAGGGGGAGGCCAGCCUCCCUUGGCCUACGUGCAACGCUCGGUGGGGCCACGCGUGACGCGACGCUAGGUGGAAAGGCGCCACCUUUUUUCUGAGGG